UGACAUCCGCCGCUUCCUCCCCGCUGCACGCUGCAGGCCAACCCGCUGCCUCGCUGCCCGUGUCGGGUUACAGCCACCAGGCCACCCGCCCUCCCGCCCUCCUCCCUCCGACUGAAGCGCGACUUUUAGGGAGAUAGUAUUACAGGCUCACAGCUGAUCCACCCCCUGGUACAACCAUUGAGACAGAGGAGGUUAAAGCACUCUGAACGCAUGGAACCAUAUUGCAGGUAGUGUGGCUGUGGGAGGCUCUCAGUGUUUUCUCACGUUCCGUCUCUGCUCCACAAGACGACCCGCACACACACACAGACCUCACACAGGUCAGUCACACGUAUCCAUUAACAUGCAGUCAGCAGCCC